AGAGUUUGAUCAUGGCUCAGAACGUACGCUGGCGGCACGCCUUAUACAUGCAAGUCGAACGAAGUAGCAAUACUUAGUGGCAGACGGGUGAGUAACAUGUAGGUAUCUUCCCUUUGGUGAGGAAUAACACGAGGAAACUUGUGCUAAUACCUCAUAAGUCUUUACGGAGAAAGCUUUAUGCGCCAUUGGAUGAGCCUGCACUUGAUUAGUUUGUUGGUGGGGUAAUGGCCCACCAAGACUGUGAUCAAUAGCUGAUCUGAGAGGAUGAUCAGCCACAUUGGGACUGAGACACGGCCCAAACUCCUACGGGAGGCAGCAGUAGGGAAUAUUGCACAAUGGAGGAAACUCUGAUGCAGCGAUGCCGCGUGAGUGAAGAAGGCCUUUGGGUUGUAAAGCUCUUUCGUCGGGGAAGAAAAUGACUGUACCCGAAUAAGAAGGUCCGGCUAACUUCGUGCCAGCAGCCGCGGUAAUACGAAGGGACCUAGCGUAGUUCGGAAUUACUGGGCUUAAAGAGUUCGUAGGUUGUUAAAAAAGUUGGUGGUGAAAUCCCAGAGCUCAACUCUGGAACUGCCAUCAAAACUUUUUAGCUAGAGUAUGAUAGAGGAAAGCAGAAUUUCUAGUGUAGAGGUGAAAUUCGUAGAUAUUAGAAAGAAUACCAAUUGCGAAGGCAGCUUUCUGGAUCAUUACUGACGCUGAGGAACGAAAGCAUGGGUAGCAAACAGGAUUAGAUACCCUGGUAGUCCACGCCGUAAACGAUGAGAACUAGCCGUUGGAUCUUAGAUUCAGUGGUACAGCUAACGCAUUAAGUUCUCCGCCUGGGGGAGUACGGACGCAAGGCUAAAACUCAAAUGAAUUGACGGGGGCCCGCACAAGCGGUGGAGCAUGUGG
rnacentral:rRNA from 1 species